rnacentral:rRNA from 1 species
AUGCUUCUACUUUCUGUAUGGAGCUAGGAGCGUCUGCCUCUUGGACGCCCGAAGAGUGUCAAGUUUAAUCCUUGGGAUGAAGAAGACGCAUUACGGCUCCCCACUUGGGCUUACAAUUGGGAUGUGGCAUCCGAGAUGACGAACGAUGUCAAUCUCAUGUACCAAAAGUACAUUGUCGAGUUGGACACAAUUACGCCUGAGCAGGUGACGAGGACAUUACUACAGUCAUUUCUCAUGCUUGCCUGA